GCCGCUCAGUGUUCUAGGUCAAAUAAGACAUUUUUUAACAAUGCCUGAGAUAAAUACCGACCAUCUGGAUGAGCAACAAGUUCAACUCUUGGCAGAGAUGUGUAUACUUAUUGAUGAAAAUGACGAUAAAAUUGGGGCUGAGACUAAGAAGAAUUGUCACCUGAAUGAAAACAUUGAGAAAGGAUUAUUGCAUUGGGCUUUUAGUGUCUUCUUAUUCAACACUGAAAAUAAGCUGCUGCUACAGCAGAGGUCGGAGGCUAAAAUUACCUUUCCAGAUUGUUUUACCAACACAUGUUGCAGUCAUCCAUUAAGUAAUCCAGGCGAGCUUGAGGAGAGCAAUGCCCUUGGAGUGCGACGGGCAGCACAGAGGCGCCUACACAUGUGGAAUUGGGAAUUCCUUUGCAAGAAGUGCCUCCAGAAGACAUUAAUUAUUUGACACGAAUUUACUACAAGGCCCAGUCUGAUGGUAUCUGGAGUGAGCAUGAGAUUGACUACAUUCUGUUUGUGAGGAAGAAUGUGACUCUAAAUCCAGAUACGAAUGAGGUUAAAAGCUACUGCUAUGUGUCCAAGGCAGAACUGGAAGAUCUUCUGAAAAAAGCAGCCAGUGGGGAAGUUAAGAUUACACCGUGGUUUAAAAUCAUUGUAGAGACUUUUCUCUUUAAAUGGUGGGAUAACUUAAAUCAUUUGAGCCAGUUUGUUGACCAUGAGAAAAUACAUAGAAUGUGAAUGUGGAGAUGAAUGAUUACUUCAGGAUUUCUCUGUUUGGUAAACUUAGAAUUACUUUUUUAUAAAAUUUGGUUCCCCAUUAAGAAAACUCUCAUAUGAUACAUUGGCAAUUUACAACUUGUGUUGAAAACACAACUAAUAAUAAAUUAGUUAACUAAUAAAUAAAUUACCUUCAUAAACUUAAGGUAAUUUACAACUUGUGUAGAAAACACAACUAACCAUCACACACCCCAUAUAUGUGAUGAGAAGUUACUGUGAAAUGAAAGAGAACAAAUAAAACACAAUUUAACCUGUCCAGACAUACGGUUAUAACAAAUCUGAACUAACAGGGACACUUUUGUUUUUGAUAUGUUAUGGUGAACGUUUUUGGAUCACUUUUUGUCUGCCAGGUGCAAUCCUUGCUUUUGGCAAUGGUAUGGGUUAGGUUAGGUCUUCUUUUAAAUAGUA